CACUCGCGUGUAAGUAUAAUUUUAUGUUAAUGUAAGUAUACAUCCACUCCACCGUCCUCUUUAACCGACUCGCUUCUCUUUUUUGUAAUCUUUAUUAUUCGUUCACACACCACGCAACGCACAAUUUUCGAUAUUUAUCUCUUUAAUUAUUACGAAUGCAAACGGAAGCUACCGUCCUUAAUUCCGGCCACGGCGGCCUCGUCGCCGACGGCGCUGGGGCAGGUGCUGCGGCGGCGCACAAGAUUGUGUCCCAGCAGCAGACACGGAGAGCGAUGCACCAUCAUCAAUCGCAGAUCGGCACGAUUUCGCAGCUUCUCGCCGGCGGUGUCGCCGGCGCUGUGAGUAAGACAUGUACGGCUCCGCUCGCUCGUCUUACUAUCCUGUUUCAGGUGCAAGGCAUGCAUUGUGAUGUUGCUAGCAUGAGAAAAGCCUGUAUAUGGCGCGAGGCUUCACGUAUUAUCUCAGAAGAAGGAUUUCGUGCUUUAUGGAAGGGAAAUUUGGUUACUAUUGCUCAUCGUCUUCCUUAUUCUUCCAUCAGUUUUUAUGCUUUUGAGCGCUACAAGAAUUUACUACAAGUUGUUUUGGGGAUUGAAAAUGGUAAUGAAAAUAUAAGUACCGACCUUGGCAUACGACUCUUUAGUGGUGGUCUUGCUGGAAUAACUGCUGCCUCUGUUACUUACCCAUUGGAUCUUGUGCGGACCCGUCUGGCUGCUCAGACAAAUGUAAUAUACUACAGAGGCAUUGGGCAUACUUUACGUACCAUCAGCAAAGAAGAAGGGGUGUUUGGCCUCUAUAAAGGACUUGGAGCAACUUUGUUGGGUGUUGGUCCCAACUUGGCGAUUAGUUUCUCCGUAUAUGACACCGUGAGAUCUUAUUGGCUGUCACAUAGACCCAACGACUCUACUGUCCUUGUUAGCCUUGCUUGUGGCAGUCUAUCUGGUGUUGCAUCAUCAACAGAGAAGCAGGUUGAGACGCAGGCUUUGCACUAGGUGUUUAACCAGACUGACCCUUAGAUCCAGAGACAACAGAACAAGUUUAUCUGGCACUUGAAAACAUUAUUGGUUCAGUCAUGAGGAUUGUAACCAUGAUUGCAGUCUAACGAAACAUGAGAGUGAACCUCUCUGGGUAUGCUUCUCAUGUUGGUGCAAUUUGCUCGAAGUUUGGCGGUUAUGAUGAAAUCAUCAACCUCUCACUGGUUCAUUACUCAAGAAUCAGUAGUCAGUCUAGCUGAAACCCUUACCCUUUCCCUAAAAAUAUAAAUAAAACUAAAAAAUAAGUAAAUUGAAUGACGUGAUGACAAUGAAAAGGAAAAUUGGAACAAAUUAAUAUAGAGAUUAUUUCUUUGCGGGUCUUUUUCUAGCAUAAGAUAUUGUGAAAAUUUUAUGUAGCUUUUUACGAGUAAAAGUAGUGUCUUUUGGACUUCACAUUCAGUGAUAUGCGUUACAUAUAGCCGGGUCUUCUAUUUUUCUCGAUCUAGUUAUGGAUCUUUAGGGUUUUCAACUUUCUUAGGAGUAUCUGAUCAAUAAAAUAUCAGUAAAUAAAACGGAUCUGAUUAUACGUGAGACUUAAAUGGGUUUGAGCCAAAAUAAAGAAACACAAGUUCCUCUUGGUGAUUUGCUUGUCGAAUACACAAGGCUAGAUUAAAGACAUAUAUGUCUGCAGUUGCCACAAAAAGUGUCGGGGAUUGUAAUGAUAAUAGGAGUUCUUGUUCCUGCUUGAGCGUGAUUGCCCCAAUUCUGGAUCAUCUUCUGGAAUCGUAUAACUGUCAAAAGUGAGUGACUGUUCAUCGGAACUGUUAUAGUCCGAAUACUCAUAAGGUUGGGUCGACGCCCGCCUCCCUCCAAACUGUACUUGCAAGUUUCCAGGUGAGUGAAAUGCCCUACUUCUACCUGCAAAAGGAAAUCCAAUUGGAAAAACCUGACUGAACGUUAGGAUGUUAUGUUGACUUAAUCCGUGAUUUAAUAUGUUAUGUAAAGCCCAGACCCAGUCUUCUGGAUCUGCAUUAGUCCUAUUUCAUAUAUUUAUAUGCCAGCACAUGGAAUGGAAGUUGAACUGCAGAGCCUCUUUCCUAAAUUUACUACAAGCAAAUGCUAAUAUGAAUAUUAUGUUGUGGUGGUUAUAUUUAUAUAUUCAAGAGGCUGUUUAAUUGGAAAGUAGGGUCUUUACAGGGGAAGACCUUUCAGAUGCACAUUAACCCUUAAUUAAUCUGCCGAAUUAAGAGACUUCUGCAUAUAAGAAGUUAAGUUGGACUUUUAGUUGAUGUUGAAAAUGAGAACCAUAUCUUAGGAAAGUGGGUGAGUGAAGUUAAGCACAUUAGAGAUUAACAAAUUCUUGCUAGUUUUUUUGAACAUUCCUGAUACAGUAUAUCAUGGUUGAAGCAUUUGAACUUCUGUGCUUCUGCAUCAAGGGGAUUUUUCCUAAUAUUUUAAUAUCUAUUUAGAAAAAUUAAAAACAAAGUAUAACACUAUCCCUUAAAUAUGUGUUAUAUUUGGUUUGAGUAUUUCUCUUUAACUAGUGUUUUUAUGUAAGCUUGUAAUGUGGGAUAUAGAAUUCUAUCUUGGGGAAUAUAUUAGUAGAGUAGUUUUUCCUUGAGAAUAUGUGAAAGUUAAAAAGACCAUGAAAAGAUUGAAGACUACAGUAUGUCAUUACUAAAAUCCUUAAACUGUGAUUAUAUGUUAAAAUUUUCGUUUGCACAAUGUAAACCUAAUGAUAAAGAAGUAUAUUUCCAUAUAAAUUCAAUGCACAGCUCUUUUGGCUAUAGCUACUGAUCGUCACGUGAAUAAAUCUGCUAUUAUCUCAUGUUUCUUCAAUUUGACGGAAUUAGAUGCAAAUACAAGUUAAAACUGCAAUGUAUUUAGCUGUCCCGUGUUUUUUCAGUUCAGGUUCGACUAAUCUUAAUCUAAUUUCAUAAUGUGGCGUUCAAUCUUUAAUUUUCUUUGAACACAAUAUUCUUAACUACGAAAGUAGCAGGUUUAAGUGUCUUCCUGUUAUAUACUGUUGAAGUGUAUUAUUUCAUGGCCCUUGGUUGUAUAUUCCCAUUUCUGUGCUGGAUUUGUUUAAUUUUAUAUAUGAUGUGGUAGCCGAAAAGAGGUUACCUGAAAUUAGGCAAUGCCACAGAUAGUGGGAUCAAGUGCGCAUGUGUGUAGAACUAUUUUGUCCUUCCAUGCUGUAUGCAUGAUAAAAUCUAAAGUCUUUGUGAGAAUUACAUUUAAUGUGCUCAAAUGUAGUGUUGGAUCCUUUUUAGUCUACUCAUCGUUGGGACCUGGAUGUGUACGUGUACAGUUUGCAAUUUCCAAAAUGUAUUCCUUUGGCCAGUUGCUGUUAGAAUGAGGCUUGGUUGCAGUUUGCAUCGCAGAAGCUUUAAACAAAAAUCGAUUUGUAGCAUAACUUUGAACAUAACCUUUUAUAAUUAAGUAACAAAGUCAACACAUAGUCUACCCUUCAUCCCCUCCCCCCUCCAUUAAACAAAUUCACUGAUAAACAAUAAUGGCCGUAAAGAAAGAGUCUGUGCAAGACGUGAUGAUGCUUUUAAGUGCCAGUAAUUUUAUGGCUCAGCAAUUAUGUGCAGCAACAUCAAUUCUACCACAUGCAAUACAGAUCCCCUUCAUCCUAUAAUUUGACGAACCAUAACUUAAGCUUCCGUUUGCCCUAAAAAAACUGUCUCUUAAUGUGGGCUGUCCUGAGCUGGGCUGACAUAUUCCCAUGUCUAAUAGAUAGUGACAUCCUGUUCCUCAUGGGACUUGAAUCAUGAUUCAUGCGCCAAUAGGGAGGAUUACAAAAGAAAUUGGGUUUGUGGACAAAAUAUAACGGUUACUUGCAAGUUCACCUUUCUACUGUUUUCGUCAAAUCCAUUUUAUCAAAUAGGGUGCAUAUAUAAUGUGGCUUUGAUAUGCAAAUAUCUGUUUGAAACUCUGCUGCUAAUGUGUUUUCGGCUUUUCGCUGAAUUUUCUGGGAUGCAUAGGUGCAAAUUGAUCUCAGAAUGAUAGUGCACCGGCUUUUCAGGGUGCUUUAGUAGGCACACGCUGAAAAAUAAUAUUUCUCUUUUUUUGCCCCCGAUAAAUUCAAAGCCCGAGUAGCUUUAAUUAAAACCUUAAUUGCUAAAAUUCUUCUUUAAGGCUAAAUUUAAGCCUUCACAAUCAAAAUGGUAUGUCUUAUAAGUUAUAAGUUAUUACACAAAAAGGUAUGUUUGAAUAAUGCUUUUGUAGCAAAUAGGGUUUAGCACAAGUGUUACCUUCUUUCAGUUUCCUGCUAAAGUUUUCAAUUACUAGUGCUAUAGCUAAAAUCUUCGCAACCCAAUUGAAUUUGGCCUGCUAUCCUCUUUUAAUGAUAUAUGAAACAAUAGUAAAUGAUAUUUUGUUGACUUGAAGAAGUGUACCACACAUGUUAUGAUCCCCUAAUGCCUUUUCUUUUGAAAGAGAUAUGGCAGUUAAUAAUUAAUGUGUUUGAAUAUAUUUUUGAAGUUAAUAUUGCAUCUUUUACUAAUUCCAUUCUGUUUCGCCGUCUGUUAUUUUUUAAUAAGAUAUUUUGAUCUCUAAAGAUUUUUUCCUUCUGUAGGGUGCAGACAUUUUACAUUUGGCACUAUCCAUUAUUAUUCAAACUUCAUAUGUUAGUUGCAAGUCUUGGAAAAUAUAUACUAAAGUGAAAUACACAUUUGGCACUAUCUGUUAAUGUUCGAACUUGAAGGGUCAGUUGCAAGUUCUGAAAAUAUAUAUACUGCAGUGAAAUACAUGGUAAGGUAAAGAUGCAAAUGUAAUAUAUAUACUGUUGUAUUGAUGGUACUAGCUGACCUCAGACUUUCACAUGCAUUUUAGCUUUAUACACCUCUCCAGUCUUUUGGGUGAUCUAUAAAAAUCAGAUUUAGUCUAAGAGAGUAGAUGUCAUUACUCAUUACUCAACAGUGUAAGAAAUUAGGGUUUAUUUUUUAGUAAAAUUUGGUUUGUGUAUGUAUAUCUCUAAUUGCACACCACUUUAAAUGAAUGAAGCCAUUGCCUGCUCAACUUUCAGUCAGUUGAUCUGUGGACCAAUUAGCAUAUGUAAUUUCCAGUUUGUCUCAUCUUCUAUUGUACUUUGGCAGUUACAUUCCCGCUAGAUCUUGUGAGGCGGCGGAUGCAACUGGAAGGAGCAGGUGGCCGAGCUCGUGUUUACAAGACAGGUCUUUUUGGUACUUUUCGACAUAUAGUAAGAGCAGAAGGAUUACGCGGUUUGUAUAGAGGGAUUCUUCCUGAAUACUACAAGGUGGUUCCAAGUAUCGGUAUCGUUUUUAUGACUUACGAGAAGAUGAAGCAAAUUUUGUCAGAUAUACCUUCCAAUUGAGAAAUUGAUGAAUUCUCCUUCACAUGAAGGAUGAGCUCCCCGAUUGUAUCACGUUGUAUCAGUUAUUGCUGGGUCACAAUGUAUGUAAGAGUUAAAAUAGUAAUAGUUACACUAACAUCGCAUUGUUUCAUGUAUAGCUAAAAAGGGCAUAUGCACCCAGCAGAUCAUAUUUCAAGUGUAAUGUAACUGUGACUGUAUUGCAUCUUAAAAGCAAUUGUUGCAUUAAUUAUAUCGGAGAAAUCAAUUUCCUUCAAUUUUCA